rnacentral:lncRNA from 1 species
UUAGAAUUCAAAACUCUAAAUUUCUAAAAAAAAUUCUGUGUAUAACAGCCCCUUUCAGUAGAACUGUAAACUGUUAUACUGGGAACAUCAUUGACGGAAUUCACUUUUUCAUCAGAUGAUAUCUCUUUUUAUUUUUUCUGAUGAAUUCUUUGUUCAAGGUAAGCUUAUAGCAUCACCAACUAACUGCAACCUCCUUAUGUUUGUAAAUUUCCUGUGUAAUUGGGUGUAAAACCACUUUGAUUUAGUGUUAUUCUGCUUCUUGUAGUGUGCAUAGUUUGAGGGGAGUCAUUUUUUCAUGGAAAAUGUUUUCUAGCAUUUGUUAGAUAUGAAAGGGAUUAUGAUGAUACUUCUACUUCUUUCUUUUCCGUGCUUAAUCAAUGUGCACGAAAACCACCUCUAUCCGUGAUUAUACUUCUACUUCUUUCUUUUCCGUGCUUAAUCAAUGUGCACGAAAACCACCUCUAUCCAUAUUUUGACUUGGCAUCCAAUAUGGCUUGUGAUUGAGAAUCUUCUCUUGCAAAUAACCAUCGUUUUGCAGCCAUGGCAUGGCUUUUAUCUCUUUGCCUGAUGAUAACAUAGAACUGAUUCUCAAUGUUAAGAAUAUAUAAUAUGAAAUAAUAAGACAACCGGAUUAUAUUUAAAAUGUCUAUGAUAAUAAGAUAUAACCUUUAUUAAAAAGUACGCCUAUAUGAUAACAAAAAAUUUCUUAGGAAUGAUAAUGUACUCACUUAUAGUUAUUAAAUGACAUUUGAGAUUUUGCCUUCAUAGCCUCACCUUUCAUCCUCUCUGAUCCUCUUUCUUGUUUUUUUUCUUUUUUUUU